rnacentral:rRNA from 1 species
AUAUCGACGAGUUUGAUCAUGGCUCAGAUUGAACGCUGGCGGCAGGCCAAACACAUGCAAGUCGAGCGGAUGAAAGGGGCUUGCUCCUGGAUUCAGCGGCGGACGGGUGAGUAAUGCGCAGGAAUCUACCUAGUAGUGGGGGGAUAACGUUUCGAAAGGAACGCUAAUACCGCAUACGUUCUGAGGAAGAAAGCAGGGGAUCGUAAGACCUUGCGCUAUUAGAUGAGCUUGUGUCCGAUUAGCUAGUUGGUGGGGUAAAGGCCUACCAAGGCGACGAUCGGUAACUGGUCUGAGAGGAUGAUCAGUCACACUGGAACUGAGACACGGUCCAGACUCCUACGGGAGGCAGCAGUGGGGAAUAUUGCGCAAUGGGCGAAAGCCUGACGCAGCGACGCCGCGUGGGGGAUGAAGGUUUUCGGAUUGUAAACCCCUUUCAUGAGGAAAGAUAAAGUGGGUAACCACUUAGACGGUACCUCAAGAAGAAGCCACGGCUAACUUCGUG